rnacentral:tRNA from 1 species
CAGGGAGACAAAACUGAUUUUGAAGUCUGAGUAUUUAUUUCAGGCUCUAAUCCUGUCACCUUAGGUCGAUCGGUACCUCAAGUUGAAUACAUUGGGUAAGUAAGAAAUUGCUUCUCUUAUAAUGUUGAUAAUUUCAGUUCCUAAACUUUGUCUAGGUCACACCCAACAAGGGUUCUCCUGGGCCAUUAGCUCAGGUGGUUAGAGCGCACCCCUGAUAAGGGUGAGGUCCCUGGUUCAAGUCCAGGAUGGCCCAUUCGUGUUUGGGGGUAUAGCUCAGUUGGUAGAGCGCCUGCUUUGCAAGCAGGAUGUCAGCGGUUCGAGUCCGCUUACCUCCACUGAUCAACCUCUUGAUGACGAACCAGGGAGAUUUACUUGGUUAGGCGUGAUUUAGGAAUUGUUUACUGAAAGAAGAACCUAGCUUCUUAUCAUUCCUUUUCUAAAUAAAAAAAAUAGUUUAGGUUGAUAUGAUGCUGGGCUCACAUUAAUUCGAAAGGAUUUUUGCGAUGUUCAGUGGAACCUUGACAACUGCAUAGGCGAGUCUGGAAAGAAUAAAGCAUCUCAUGGAUGCAUUAUCUCAAAGUUUUGAUUUAUUUCGACUUUUAAGAUAAUUGUUUAAUUCUUGAGUAAGAGCCGAGACUCUAGUUAAUUAUUCAAUGAAAAUUGAGCCUUAAAAUGCUAAAUAAAUUAUUUAUUUAGGACGUGUUUUUUGGUGUUAAUACAUAAUUAAUCUAGAGAUUUAAU